UACAGAGGUCUCAAGCGUUGUUCGGAUUCAUUGGGCGUAAAGGGUGUGUAGGUGGCGCGCUAAGUCGGGUGUGAAAGCCCCGAGCUUAACUUGGGAAUUGCGCUUGUGACUGGCGUGCUGGAGUGUGGCAGAGGGAGGUGGAAUUCCACGUGUAGCAGUGAAAUGCGUAGAGAUGUGGAGGAACACCGAUGGCGAAGGCAGGUCUCUGGGCCACUACUGACGCUGAGAAGCGAAAGCAUGGGGAGCGAACAGG
rnacentral:rRNA from 1 species